rnacentral:rRNA from 1 species
AUUCCAGCUCCAAUAGCGUAUAUUAAUGUUGUUGCAGUUAAAAAGCUCGUAGUUGGAUUUCUGGUGGGAGUGGCCGGUCCGCCGUAAGGUGUGUACUUGGUUGUCUCCCGUCAUCCUUGUGGGAACUGCUCUGGCAUUAAGUUGUCGGGGUUAGGGAACACAUCGUUUACUGUGAAAAAAUUAGAGUGUUUAAAGCAGGCUUAUGCCGUUGAAUACAUUAGCAUGGAAUAAUAAGAUAGGACUUUGGCGUCUAUUUUGUUGGUUUGCACACCAAGGUAAUGAUUAAUAGGGAUAGUUGGGGGUACUCGUAUUUAAUUGUCAGAGGUGAAAUUCUUGGACCGUCUGAAGACUGACUACUGCGAAAGCAUUUGCCAAGAGUGUUUUCAUUA